GUUUGAGGAAGUUUGGAUCAGUUCUCUACCUGCUGCUGGAUGUUCCGAUGUUAGUUGCUACCCGUACAGAAAUGACCUCAACAUCAGAUCUGGAGCAGAUGGCAGAAAUCGAACUGCAGAAAGAGGAAGAGGAGGACGAUCAGAGGUGUGUCACCGACGGUCCAUCGCUUCCUCCGGCCAGCACCUUCAGUCCUGACCUUUCUCACCCGUAUUAUGAUGUGGCUCGACACGGCAUCAUCCAGGUC